CAGGAAGGGAAGAAUCUCUUCUGGGAGAUUGCUUCCUUUGGAGUGUUUGGUGAGCCCUGAUCAGAAAAGGAAUACUGCUGGCCUUCUGGGCUGCAGGAGUGCACCGCUGGCUCACAUCCAGCCUCUCAUCUACCAGGAGUCCGAAGUCCUCCUCUGCAAGGCUGCUCUCAAGGCAUUCUUCUCCCAAGCUUCAUGAACUGCAGCUGUAUGAAACUGGACAGAUUACAUCGCAGGAAGGCAUGUUUUUCACCCAAGAGUCUGUGCUGAACUGUUUGCUACCUACAACCAGAAGGGGCAGCCUGAAGACAGUCUGGGGCCAGAGCAUAUGUGUAUUCUGCAAGCCAGAAGAAAGAAUUUAUAAGAAGCGACUCUUCCCCAGUUCCUCCAUAUAGAGUCCUAGCAGAUUGGAUUUUUUUUGCAAUGAAGUCACCUAUAUGGUUGUUGUCUCCAAUCUAUGCUAACAUACAUGGCUUACAGAUACUGAAGAUAGAGACAUGGGAACAGACUAAUACGAGUGCCUGGGGAUAGAAAAUACUACAGGUUUUACUCUUCCUAAUGCUAAUUCUCUGGCUCUACAUCUUGGCAGAUCCAGAAGAGCUUGUAUUUUAAGACUGUUCUGAGUCUAAAAUGAGGGUGUUGAAGAACAGCGUUUUAACAGAGUUUAAAGCUCAAUUUCUCUAAGCUUAAUCAAAGUUCUAAAGCAUUCAUAGAUUUGGCAUCCAGCCUCCUGUAGAAUAUUUAAACACCCCAUCCCAAUAACGUGGCUAUUUGCAGUGUAUUCAAAAAAUAUAUUUUUUCAUUCUGCUUCUCUCACAUGCCCAUUGAAGUGCUAUCUAAAAUGCUUUAGCACAUCUCUCUAUUUCAAGUAAUUCUGUUUAACUCCAUGUAAAUAUUCAUCAGAAAUUACAAUGGGCAUAACACUUCUCUUUCUCUAACAGUCAUUUUCCCAAAGCACCAUUUCAUAUAUUGAAAAUUGAAGCUACAUACCAUUAACCUAAAUGAUUUUCACAUCUUCCAACCAACAGCAUUACCAUCCCUGAAUGGAUAUUCUUUCGUACAUCUAACUCUUUCCCUUUAGUCAUGAAAAAUGCCAAGAUCUUCUCUCUUUUGCUUUGAAUCUGUGGAAUUCUCUACAAUCAAUCCUAUUGUAUGAACUUGUGAAGUUUCAGAUGUAUGAUGUAUAGAAAUAAGAUUAAAGGAGAGUGAAGGCAAGAAGAAGCCCCACAGGGUACCAACUUGGAAGGAUGGUUAAAUAGUGUGUGUCAUCAUCUCCCAUAACUCUAGCUAGCCAGACAAAUAGAAAUAGCCUGCAUGGGAAAGAUCCUAUUUUUUCUCUCUGCAAAAAAUGCAAGAACAUGCAAGUAUUGUUUUUGUCUAACUUCUGCCUCUCACAGAUUGUUCUACUUUAAAUUUGUUCAAGAUUUUGUUUGCUUGUUUGUUUUGUUUUGGGUUUUUUUUUUCCUCUCUUUUUUUCUCCAAUACACAUAUUUAACAGUUCCGAUUUUCCAGAUUGCAAUGCUUUGAUCAUCCAGGUCUCUUUAAUAAGGAGAGCUACUGCCAACAGAUGGAUCACAAAAGCUUAUAUGCCUUCUAAUGAAACCAAUCUUCCUAAUUUACCUUUCCCUGCAGAAUAUUUUUAUGCUUUCCUCGUUCUUCUAGAGUGUAACUCUCAAAAUCAUCUGUUUGACCAUGGUCCCAGGGCGGUAUUUGUGAUAUAAUAAAAUAUAAACAUAAAAAAGGUAGCUAUGCCUAGUUUAAAAGUCAGGCAAGUUUCACAGGUGUUGCUGAAGAGCCUUUCGUUAUUUAGAAGUGACACAAUAGCGUCACAAUUACUGUUACCUUGGAUGAAUAUUCAUGAGCAGAUUAGAUAUAGUAGUAAGGCUGAGUGAACUUCAAAAAGGUUAAAGUCUGAGGCAGAGAAGUGUUCAAAGGUUUGGGCACUUUUCUGAAACAGCUAAAUUGCCUGGAGCUGUGACUGUCAGACAUGAAUCUGAGGGGUUUGAACUUAGUGCAAGUUAGACCUCUGACACAAAGAUAUAGGGCCAAGUCUCUGAUUAACUCAUGGAAAAAAAAAUUAUCCGUAAAGCAGAGGUCCUCUGAAAGAAGAAAUCCCUGUGAAAUAAUCUCCACUUAUUUUCAGUUCUACAUAGUAUUAUCAUUCAAUGACAUGUUUGCUGCAAUGUAGAUAAUAUAUAUUCUGGACCUCCUGUCUCUUGUUUCUUUGCAGCAACUUGGGGUAUGCAGCUUCUUUGCCACCCUGAAGAGGUAAAGCAAUAAUCUACAUUUCUUCAUCUACAAGCAGUAUCAAAUUACUUGUCUGAACUUGGUGGAACUGAAGAUGUAUUUUACCCAGAAAAAUAAGUUCAUGAAAAUAACUGCAAAUAAUGACUAGAAACAGUUAAAGUACAAUUGCACUUGUUUAAUGCAACUUCAUUGCAAUGGCAAAGGAAAGCUCUUGCUUGACUUUGAAACAGCACUGGAGAUGACAUAGCACCCUUUAAAAGUCCUCAGCUCAGAUGUGCAUAGGAUGUAUUCCUGAAUGGGCCCUGGAUGUAGUCAGUGCAUCAGAAUGUCAACAGAGUAGAAUAGGAUGCUGUAUUUCUUCAGUUCAACCAUUUUCAGGGUAAACAGGAUGAUGGAUAAGAUACAGGAAGACGGAUAAGAUACAGGAAGCUUAACAAGAUAUCAGAGCUCUGAAGAGCUAAAUCUUUGCUGUUAUUUCCCAAAUUAAACAAUCUCAGGCCAUGCCAGACAAUCUUGAACAUAUUUAAUUAUCCAGUAAAGUAUGGUGACGGAACGUUAGCCAAAGGUUUUUAUCUCCAUUCCUUGAUUGCAAUCAUAUUUCUUUUUUUCAGGCAGGACUCACAGGAGACUGUACAGGUUUCAUUUUUACAUCAGGAAAGAACACAAAUAUGGAGUUAACCACACUUGGUUGAGAUCACUAGUGUUGCUGUGCUGCUUCUGAGGAAGGCUAGGAACUGAUUCUUGAAAAAAACUUGUUGAAUAACAAAAAAAAAAACCACGAUUAUCUCAGUUUUACAGCUUUGAUAAAGAAGAGGGUCUGAUUUCCUAUCUUUAAGUAAUUGGCUGGCAGACUAAAAUGUGAUUUAGAUUUGUCAGUCUCAAAGAACUAGUUGAACUCUCAUGUCUAUUGUCUAUAAUUGGGACCAAACAUGGAAAGAGGAGUUUACUACUAAAGAAAAUACCAUAGACUUUCCAAAAACAUACUGAAGGAAUGGGCAAUUGUCUAAGGC